GACGAACGCUGGCGGCGUGCUUAACACAUGCAAGUCGAACGGAAAGGCCCUGCUUUUGCUGGGUGCUCGAGUGGCGAACGGGUGAGUAACACGUGAGUAACCUGCCCUUGACUUUGGGAUAACUUCAGGAACCUGGGGCUAAUACCGGCUAGGAGCUCCUGCUGCCUGGUGGGGGUUGGAAAGUUUCGGCGGUUGGGGAUGGAUUGGGGGUUUAUCAGCUUGUUGGUGGGGUAGUGGCUUACGCAGGCAUUGAUGGGUAGCCGGCAUGAGGGGGUGACCGGCGCCAAGGGGACUGAGGGAGGGCCCAGACGCGAACUGUAGGCAGCGGUGGGGAAUAUGGCACAAUGGGCGGAAGCCUGAGGCGGCGACGCCGGGGUCGUGAUGACGGCUUGCGGGUAGUAAACCGCAUUCGCCUGAGACGAAGCGUGAGUGACGGUAAUGGGAAAAUAAGCACCGGCUAACUACGUG
rnacentral:rRNA from 1 species